UGGGGAAUUUUGGACAAUGGGCGAAAGCCUGAUCCAGCAAUGCCGCGUGUGUGAAGAAGGCCUUCGGGUUGUAAAGCACUUUUGUCCGGAAAGAAAUCCUUGGCUCUAAUACAGUCGGGGGAUGACGGUACCGGAAGAAUAAGCACCGGCUAACUACGUGCCAGCAGCCGCGGUAAUACGUAGGGUGCAAGCGUUAAUCGGAAUUACUGGGCGUAAAGCGUGCGCAGGCGGUUUGCUAAGACCGAUGUGAAAUCCCCGGGCUCAACCUGGGAACUGCAUUGGUGACUGGCAGGCUAGAGUAUGGCAGAGGGGGGUAGAAUUCCACGUGUAGCAGUGAAAUGCGUAGAGAUGUGGAGGAAUACCGAUGGCGAAGGCAGCCCCCUGGGCCAAUACUGACGCUCAUGCACGAAAGCGUGGGGAGCAAACAGGAUUAGAUACCCUGGUAGUCCACGCCCUAAACGAUGUCAACUAGUUGUUGGGGACUUCAUUUUCCUUAGUAACGUAGCUAACGCGUGAAGUUGACCGCCUGGGGAGUACGGUCGCAAGAUUAAAACUUAAAGGAAUUGACGGGGUCAUAGCUGUUUCCU
rnacentral:rRNA from 1 species